GGGGAGGGGGGACGAGCUGAACCGCCGCUCGUCGGGCGAAGCGGGAGGCUUGUGGCGCUGGGCUGGAGGUGAGAAGAAAGGCAGCCUCUGAUAGGGAUGGACCAGAGUCUGCUAACGGGAGAUAUCCCGGGUUUCAUUGGCGGAGGCACCUUCUGCUUUCGCACAGGGGACGAAUUGAGGCCUCCCGGGGCGAGAGGGACAGCAAUCCGGGGUCUGAGCGGAGCUAUUCUAGGGUCGGUUGGAAGAGGCAAGCUGAAAUUCUUAGAAGGCCUAGUUGGGCCCGAGAGGACUGGAGAGAAGUCAGGAAUCCGCUGGAAAGGAUAACAUGUGAAUAUACCUGAAGGUGAUACCUGCAAGUUCCUACCCUUAGGAUCUAGUGUCCUACCUAAUGAGUGCAUCGAGGCAAUACGGUAAACGAGAGUACAAGAGACAGAAGGCCAAGGAUGCAGUCCAAGAAAGUUCUAAAAAUGUAUCAUCAGGUCCAACUUGGUAGUUGACAUAGCCAUGGAAAGCCUCAUUGGAUCCUCACUGGGUCAGACCAUAACUGGCAUUCUUAAAAACUCUUCCCAUCAUAAAGUAUCAAGAAGGAAAAUGUAGGAUAUAUACCUACCACUUCAAGAAAGCUCCUGUACUAGCCAACAGCCUAACGGAUUAGCUAGCUGCUUUGAUCAUCAAGCAGAUGUACUCAAGCUCAGCACAGCGCAGGAAAAAUCUCUCUAUGAACAUUUUUCACAAUCUGUGUGUGACCUAUUAGCAGGUCAUGAAAUCAGUUCUAAAGAGGAAAAAUGAAGUGAAAUGUGCAGACACUUGUUCAAGUUCAGCUGCUGCACCUGGAAAUGUGAAUAGUGACCAUGUUGAGAGAAAUACUGUAAUCUGCAAACUUCAACCUCGUUUGAGCCACAUUUCAAAAAGAAAAAGCUGUUAGCGAGAAAGCCUUAUUAUCGUCGUAUUUGGUUGCAUAUCGAGUGGCGAAAGAGAAAAUGGCUCACACGGCUGCUGAAAAAAUAAUUCUUCCAGCGUGUUUGGAUAUGGUGCGUACAAUUUUUGAUGACAAAUCGGCUGAUAAAUUAAAAACGAUAUCUAGUGAUGACAUAAUAUCUCUUCGAAUGUGCACUAUUGCGGAACACUUAGAAACAAUGCUUCUCACCCGGUUGCAGACUGGUAUAGACUUUGCGAUCCAGCUCGAUGACAGCACCGACCUGGGGAGGGGCACGACACUCUUAGUUUAUGUCAGAUACGCGUGGCAAGAAGAUUUCAUGGAGGAUUUUUUGUGUUGCUUAAAUAUAACCUCACACCUAAGCGGGUUAGGUAUUUUUACAGAAUUAGAAAAGUGCAUUGUUGGCCGAUAGAAAUUAAACUGGAAGAACUGCAAAGGGAUUACAAGUGACGGAGCAGCAAGCAAAACCGGAAGACACAGCAGAGUAAUUAAAAAAUUGCCAGAAGUGACUAAUAACGGCGCCGUGUGGAAUCACUGUUUUAUACAUCGUGAAGCUUUAGCAUCCAGAGAAAUCCCACAGAAUCUCUUGGAAGUACUGAAAAACGCAGUGAAAGUUGUUAACUUCAUUAAAGGAAGUCCGCUAAAUAACCAGCUUCUUGAAACAUUUUGUUCAGAGAUUGGAGCUAAUCGUACCCACUUACUAUACCAUACCAAAGUUCGUUGGUUGUCUCAUGGCAAAAUACUAAGCAGGGUUUAGGAACUCAGGAACGAGAUCCACCUUUUUCUUACUGAAAAAAAAAUCUCAUUUGGCAAGUAUUUUGGAAGAUGACAUUUGGGUGAUGAAAUUGGCAUAUUUAACAGAUAUUUUUGGCAUUCUUCACGAACUGAGUUUAAAACUACAGGGGGAAAAUAGCAAUAUAUUCCAACAGGUCGAACGCAUCCAGGGAUUCCAAAAGACACUAUUGUUAUGGCAAGCGAGGCUUAAAAGCAGCCGUCGGAGCUACUACAUGUUUCCAAGAUUUUUGCAACAUAUCGAAGAGAACGUUAUUCGUGAAAACCUUUUGAAAGAAAUAAGAUUAGAGAUAUUGGUGCAUCUCACUUCUCUGGCUCAAACUUUUAACCAUUUCUUUCCAGAAGAGAAGUUUGAAACGUUAAGAGAAAACAGCUGGGUGAAAGAUCCCUUUGCUUUUCGAAACCCAGAAUCGGUAAUUGAGUUAAACUUGGUACCUGAAGAAGAGAGAGAAUUACUGCAGCUCAGUUCCUCAUAUACGUUGAAGACUGACUACGAAGCAUUAACAUUAUCGGCAUUUUGGAUUAAGAUUUUGUCUUCUAUCGAAGGUGAUUUUUUUACUUGCCUUUUUGGUCCUCGAAAUAAAGUGUUGGAAUACAGUUCCCCAGGAAUAUCUCACAUGUCUGCUCAGUGUGGAUUCUCUGAAUGAAGAGUAAUGGAUAAUCUCCCUGGAGACGAGGAUGGGAAGAUAUACCAGCAACCCCACAAAACGCUAGAGUCUAAUGUCAUGCAACCCACUGCAUGAUGGAGAGGUGACAUCUGAUCCUUACCAUGUCACGCUGUGGGAGUUGGGGUAUGGGGAGCUAACAAACAAAACUGAUGUGUCUGCUUCUUUUUUUUUGGCUGUGAGUAAUAAAUUGUUUCUGACUCAAA